rnacentral:lncRNA from 1 species
AAAAUGAUUGGAACCCCAAACCCCUCUGUCGUUCUCUAGGGUUAGGGUUUUACCAAACGGUAUCGCGCACACAACUUCUCUGUCGCCAUGAGAGCUAAGGUACGAUUUCUUCGCAAAAUUAAAGUUUAAUCACCCGUAGUUGCUUCUGUUUUUGUCACAUAAAGCUUAACUAUAUUGUGGGAUUAUUUAUUACAGUGGAAGAAGAAGAGAAUGAGGAGGUUGAAGAGGAAGCGCCGAAAGAUGAGGCAGAGAUCCAAGUAGUCCUUUCAAAUGCUUCUGUUCUAGGGUUUUGAACCUCUUUUUUGUCGUUAAAAUUUUCAGUUAUUGAUGAAAUCUUGAGCAUUCGCUUUUUCUUGAUACAUUUGGAAGUUCUGAUUGGAAAGCUCUUUUUGUCGUUAAAUUUAUCAGCUAUUGAUGAAAAACUUGAGCUUGUUAUUCGCUUUUCCUUGAUACAUUUGGAAGUUUUGAUUGGAGUUUAUUUUGAUGGCUUUGACAAUUGAAAUGCUACUCCAUCUUCAUUAGUAUGGUAAUUCCUUAUGAUUUAUAUAUUAAAAUAUUAUCUGCGUUUUGGAAUAGUUUUUUUUACAUAACUUGUGUAUCCAAUAUGAUGUUCUGUAAGUAGAAUUAAAUCCCAGACAAGCUUCUAUAUGAAUUGGUCUAUAUAGAACUUAGACUGGUUACAAUGGAUAGGCUAGCAAUUUAUCUGUCUAUUGUGGAUUUUCUGAAGUUCUAAUACUUACCUUUAUAUGAUUGAUUAUGGGAGUUGGCUUUACUUGGCAUUCAGGCUUUGGUCGAGUGGUAAGUGUGGG